UACGGAGGGUGCAAGCGUUAUCCGGAUUCACUGGGUUAAGGGUGCGUAGGUGGGAAUGUAAGUCAGUGGUGAAAUCUCCGUGCUUAACACGGAAACUGCCAUUGAUACUAUGUUUCUUGAAUUAUCUGGAGGUCAGCGGAAUAUGUCAUGUAGCGGUGAAAUGCUUAGAUAUGACAUAGAACACCAAUUGCGAAGGCAGCUGGCUACAGGUGGAUUGACACUGAGGCACGAAAGCGUGGGGAUCAAAACAGG
rnacentral:rRNA from 1 species